rnacentral:rRNA from 1 species
GGCGGGGCUUACCCAUGCAAGUCGGAGCGGAGAGGCCCCUUCGGGGGUACUCGAGCGGAGAACGGGUGUUCAAUACGUGGGCAACCUGCCCCUGACUCUGGGAUAACCCCGGUAAACCGGGGCUAAUACCGGAUAUGACGCGGGAGGGCAUCCUCUCCGUGUGGAAAGGGUUUACUGGUCAGGGAUGGGCCCGCGGCCUAUCAGCUUGUUGGUGGGGUAGUGGCCUACCAAGGCGACGACGGGUAGCCGGCCUGAGAGGGCGACCGGCCACACUGGGACUGAGACACGGCCCAGACUCCUACGGGAGGCAGCAGUGGGGAAUAUUGCGCAAUGGGCGAAAGCCUGAGGCAGCAACGCCGCGUGAGGGAUGGCGGCCUUCGGGUUGUAAACCUCUUUCAGCCCCGACGAAGCGUGAGUGACUGUAGGGGAAGAAAAAGCACCGGCUAACUACGUGCCAGCAGCCGCGGUAAUAAUCUAGAU